rnacentral:rRNA from 1 species
UGGGMGCMAGCCUGAUGCAGCGACGCCGCGUGAGGGAUGACGGCCUUCGGGUUGUAAACCUCUUUCAGUAGGGAAGAAGCGAAAGUGACGGUWCCUGCAGAAGAAGCGCCGGCUAACUACGUGCCAGCAGCCGCGGUAAUACGUAGGGCGCAAGCGUUAUCCGGAAUUAUUGGGCGUAAAGAGCUCGUAGGCGGUUUGUCGCGUCUGCUGUGAAAGACCGGGGCUCAACUCCGGUUCUGCAGUGGGUACGGGCAGACUAGAGUGCAGUAGGGGAGACUGGAAUUCCUGGUGUAGCGGUGAAAUGCGCAGAUAUCAGGAGGAACACCGAUGGCGAAGGCAGGUCUCUGGGCUGUAACUGACGCUGAGGAGCGAAAGCAUGGGGAGCGAACAGGAUUAGAUACCCUGGUAGUCCAUGCCGUAAACGUUGGGCACUAGGUGUGGGGGACAUUCCACGUUUUCCGCGCCGUAGCUAACGCAUUAAGUGCCCCGCCUGGG